GAUGAACGCUAGCGGCAGGCCUAAUACAUGCAAGUCGAACGGGGUUAAGGGAAAUUUUCGGAUGGAACUUAACUUAGUGGCGGACGGGUGAGUAACGCGUGGAUAACCUGCCUCACACUGGGGGAUAGCAGCUGGAAACGGCUGGUAAUACCGCAUAAGACCACAGCACCGCAUGGUGCAGGGGUAAAAGAUUUAUCGGUGUGAGAUGGAGCCGCGUCUGAUUAGCCAGUUGGCGGGGUAACGGCCCACCAAAGCGACGAUCAGUAGCCGGCCUGAGAGGGUGAACGGCCACAUUGGGACUGAGACACGGCCCAA
rnacentral:rRNA from 1 species